UGGGGAAUUUUGGACAAUGGGCGCAAGCCUGAUCCAGCCAUGCCGCGUGCGGGAAGAAGGCCUUCGGGUUGUAAACCGCUUUUGUCAGGGAAGAAAUCUUCUGGGUUAAUACCUCGGGAGGAUGACGGUACCUGAAGAAUAAGCACCGGCUAACUACGUGCCAGCAGCCGCGGUAAUACGUAGGGUGCAAGCGUUAAUCGGAAUUACUGGGCGUAAAGCGUGCGCAGGCGGUUAUGCAAGACAGUUGUGAAAUCCCCGGGCUCAACCUGGGAACUGCAUUUGUGACUGCAUAGCUGGAGUGCGGCAGAGGGGGAUGGAAUUCCGCGUGUAGCAGUGAAAUGCGUAGAUAUGCGGAGGAACACCGAUGGCGAAGGCAAUCCCCUGGGCCUGCACUGACGCUCAUGCACGAAAGCGUGGGGAGCAAACAGGAUUAGAUACCCUGGUAGUCCACGCCCUAAACGAUGUCAACUGGUUGUUGGGAAGGUUCCUCUC
rnacentral:rRNA from 1 species